ACCUAAUUAACUCAGUGGUUAGAGUAUCGCUUUCCAUACGUUGGAUGCCGUUGGUUCAAAUCCCAUAUUAGGU
rnacentral:tRNA from 1 species